rnacentral:rRNA from 1 species
CAGUGAUAAACUGGAGGAAGGUGGGGAUGACGUCAAGUCAUCAUGGCCCUUACGAGUAGGGCUACACACGUGCUACAAUGGCGCAUACAAAGAGAAGCGACCUCGCGAGAGCAAGCGGACCUCAUAAAGUGCGUCGUAGUCCGGAUUGGAGUCUGCAACUCGACUCCAUGAAGUCGGAAUCGCUAGUAAUCGUGGAUCAGAAUGCCACGGUGAAUACGUUCCCGGGCCUUGUACACACCGCCCGUCACACCAUGGGAGUGGGUUGCAAAAGAAGUAGGUAGCUUAACCUUCGGGAGGGCGCUUACCACUUUGUGAUUCAUGACUGGGGUGAAGUCGUAACAAGGUAACCGUAGGGGAACCUGC